GACAUUAGGGAGGUACAGCUAUUGAUAGCUGGGGAGAUAUUUGUAUUGAUUGUUUUUUUGAUUGUACUCACAAACAUUUUUUAUUUUAUUCAUUUUUCGUAUUUUGAUAUUAUUUAUUUAAUUCGACUUCCAGUUAUUAUUUACAAAUCUGGAGUAUCGUCUUCAGAUUUGUGAAUUUUCUUUGAUAUUUUUGUAAAUUGUCGAUCUUUUUCUACAUUUUUCAAUUUGAAUAUCAGUUCACCAAAAUUUACUGUUUAGUGACUAAAUACAGCAUCUCCAAUAGUGUCUAAAAAUCUCAGCAUGCUGAUUGGAAAAUAAAUUUCCUUUGCACUAGUUAUUCGCUGUCAACAGCAAUCUUUCUCAGAUGGUGUUCAGAAAUAAAAUGUGUCCUCCAACAAUAUCGGAAAUAUAAUGAUUUCUGACUUGUUCAAGAAACAUUUACACGUUUGUUUGUGAAUUUAUCUUUAGUAUAAUAGUUUUUUUUUGUAUUGUAGUUUAAGCUUUACUUUAACAUGUCUUGUGCCUCUUGUAUACUUGACUCUCAUUUCAAUACUUGAGUAAUUGGUAUAUGCAUUUAUCUAUAGCCUUAAUCAUUGUAAGAUAUUUUUCAGCCUACUUCUACAAAGUGCACUGAGGAUUCUUGCAAUAGGUAGAAAUUUAAAUUAUUUAAUCGAAAUUACCAUUGCAUAUAUGUUUGUGCCUUAAAACCUGUUUGAAGUGUUUACUGUACGUAAAGAAUACACAAUGUUUGUUAUUAUUGUUAAACAUAGCUUUUAUCAGCUCUAGAAUUCACAAACCUACACAAGCACCAACACACUGCUGGUUAAUUGAAAUUAUGUUUUUGUCCAAUAAUAGGUAAGUGGUAGCUUACCCAAGAAUUGUCUGUGGUAUGCCGGUGUUGCCUAAACAAUAUUCUAACAAAUGCCAGUGGCAAGAUGGGUUAGGUCCUUGGAAUGCAAUGUAAAUUGAAUUGAUGUAAACUUUAAACAACUUCUUGAGCAAGGAUCAGAUAUCCCAAAAUACAUUUAUAAACAGCUAUAAACACAUUAAAUAUAAUCAACUGUAUUAACAGUAUAUGUUAUAUACCAGUGGCGCCUGGAAGGUAGAUCCCCGGAUGUUUUAAAACUACAGCUUCCAUGACGCUUUGUCAUUUUAAAGACAUUCUAAAGGCAUGCAAAGCAUCAUUGGGCACCACUGUUAUAUACAGUGCACUGAGCAAAACAACAUGCUUUUUUAGGUACUGCUACAAUAAAACCGUUAAACAUGUCAUAAUGGUGUAUAAAGCAAAGCUCUUUGUAUUCACAUAGAGUGUUUAUUUGGGUUUGGUUUACGUGAAGUAGCUUUACCUAGAACAGUGGUUCCCAACCUAGUCCUAAGACUGAAUCCUUAUAAGUAUGAAUACCCAGAAGUGAAUAUGAUACCUGUCCAUACUGUAAUACUGAUAUCCUACUGAUUAUAUGCUGCUAUACAAACAUUUGUUAUUGGUAUUGUUAAAAGCGGGUGUUUAGCAAUCACUGUACAAUGCCUGGGCUCGUGUCAAUAGAAUACACAGGAAAAAUCUCAUAUGGUUCAAUUUUUAAUGCAGAACACCAUACAGUUACCCAUCGACACAUUGAGUGUCUGUGCUAGGUGUUGAUGGAAACAGAAAACCCAAACACUUUAUGGCUUAUUAACUAAAGUGAGAAUUGAAAGUUCAUUUUAAUUUUAAGGCCGCAUUAGCCAAACUGAAAACUUAGCUGACUGUUUCUGAAUUGGCUAUUUUGACCUUAAAUUUGAAAUUCACUUUCAAUUCACUUUACAUUCUCACUUUAGUGAGAAUAAACGGGUUAGUUCUAAAAAAAAAAAAAAUGGGAAAAUAAAUAUUUGAACUCAAUCAUGUGUCACAUAUUGUUUGCUAUUCAAGUCAAUUAUCCAAUUUCUCCAUAUAACUAAAUGUAGUGAUGAUUGAAGCAGUAAAAAUAACAAAAACAGUGAAGCAAUCUAUGAAAUAUUUGCCAUUUGUUUCUCCCAGGUUUAGAUUGUGACUUUUAAUACUAAAAUUAUUACAGCAAUUAUGAAGCAUUUGUCUAACAACUUUUGAGGGGCAAGGUUUGUGCAGAGCUCCAUCUUGGAGAUGUACUGAAUCGUUAUUGGCAGUCACAAAGAUCAAAUUUCAUUAAUUUUAUGCUAUGAUUACUGAGAAGCAACAGAAUAAAACAUAUCUUUUUUUUACGAGUUUGUAUUAUUAUGUGAAAUAGCUACCAUUAACUAAUGUUAAUAAUGUUUCAUUAAAAUAUGAAAAAUAUAUUAUUUUAAUGUAAAUAAACUUUGUUUUAAAAAAA